AUACGUAGGGGGCGAGCGUUGUCCGGAAUGAUUGGGCGUAAAGGGCGCGUAGGCGGCUCGGUAAGUCUGGAGUGAAAGUCCUGUUUUUAAGAUGGGAAUUGCUUUGGAUACUGUCGGGCUUGAGUGCAGGAGAGGUAAGUGGAAUUCCCAGUGUAGCGGUGAAAUGCGUAGAGAUUGGGAGGAACACCAGUGGCGAAGGCGACUUACUGGACUGUAACUGACGCUGAGGCGCGAAAGUGUGGGGAGCAAACAGGAUUAGAUACCCUGGUAGUCCACACUGUAAACGAUGAAUGCUAGGUGUAGGGGGUAUCGACCCCUUCUGUGCCGCAGUCAACACAAUAAGCAUUCCGCCUGGGGAGUACGGCCGCAAGGUUGAAACUCAAAGGAAUUGACGGGG
rnacentral:rRNA from 1 species